CCUACGGGUGGCAGCAGUGGGGAAUAUUGCACAAUGGGGGAAACCCUGAUGCAGCGACGCCGCGUGAAUGAUGAAGCGUUUCGGCGCGUAAAGCUCUGUCAGCGGGGAAGAAACGCGCUUCGCGAGAGCCGCGGACGGUACCCGACCAAGAAGCCCCGGCUAACUACGUGCCAGCAGCGGCGGUAAUACGUAGGGGGCCAGCGUUAUCCGGAUUCACUGGGGGUAAAGGGAGCGUAGAGGGCGAGACAAGUCUGGAGUGAAAGGCUGGGGCCCAACCCCGGGACUGCACUUGAAACUGCCAGUCUGGAGUACAGGAGAGGUAAGUGGAAUUCCUGGUGUAGCGGUGAAAUGCGUAGAUAUUAGGAGGAACACCAAUGGCGAAGGCGGCUUGCUGGACUGUAACUGACGUUGAGGCUCGAAAGCGUGGGGAGCAAACAGGAUUAGAUACCCCAGUAGUC
rnacentral:rRNA from 1 species